rnacentral:tRNA from 1 species
GUCUAAUGGUUAGGAUAUCUGCCCUCCAAGCAGAUGGUCCAGGUUCGAUUCCCGG